GCUUUUGUGGUGUAAUGGCCAACACACUUGGCGCGUAUUCGAGAGAUCCAUGGUUCAAAUCCUGGGGAGGGCA
rnacentral:tRNA from 1 species